AAAAAAUAACUCGAAAACAAUAAAAUGUAAUUUUAAAGGCCUAAACGAUAGAAUUUGACCAAAAAACACUGCAGUUCACGAGCAAAGCGCUUGUGACUUUUGACCGUUGACCUGUUUCCAAUGAAAUUAGGCUCCGAAAACGAAAAAAAAAAACGACACUCCAAACUUGACAGAAAUUACCAAAUUGCCACUGGAUCAAAUCUUUCCAUAAACUAGAUCGAAUCUAUCAAAUCCUUCCAUAAACUGACACGCUUGCUCUUCAACCGCAUCAGUGACCCCCCUGAGAAAUCCUCGUGUUGCAACUCCUUUUUUU
rnacentral:lncRNA from 1 species